rnacentral:rRNA from 1 species
UACGUAGGGUGCGAGCGUUUAAUCGGAAUUACUGGGCGUAAAGCGUGCGCAGGCGGUUUGUUAAGACAGAUGUGAAAUCCCCGGGCUUAACCUGGGAACUGCAUUUGUGACUGGCAAGCUAGAGUAUGGCAGAGGGGGGUAGAAUUCCACGUGUAGCAGUGAAAUGCGUAGAGAUGUGGAGGAAUACCGAUGGCGAAGGCAGCCCCCCUGGGAUAACACUGACGGCUCAUGCACGAAAGCGUGGGAGGCAACAAGGAU